rnacentral:sRNA from 1 species
AGGCAUUGCUGAGAAACAGCGGGAAAGACCACUGGGACAAGAUGAGAUUGAAGGUAACACCAUCUUCCCCAGUUGCUUCCACGUUGCCAUCCACCCACCUGACCUGCCCUCAGUCCCUUUGUGCAUUUCUGUAUAAAUUCCAUUACAUGGAAUUUUUACAAUCCCUCUCUCUUCCCACUCAACUGUAAUUUUGUAGAACUCUUUCUCGUGGCAGUUGAAGGACCUCCCAAAGUAUUUCGAAGGCAUAUCCAUCCUCAAGUGUCUCCAAGACUCAGGAGUGAAAACAAAUGAGUUUCU